GGGCGGUUAGCUCAGUUGGUUAGAGCGCAUGCCUCACAUGCAUGAGGUCACAGGUUCGAAUCCUGUAUCGCCCA
rnacentral:tRNA from 1 species